rnacentral:rRNA from 1 species
AGUGAACGCUGGCGGUAGGCCUAACACAUGCAAGUCGAACGGCAGCACAGUAAGAGCUUGCUCUUACGGGUGGCGAGUGGCGGACGGGUGAGGAAUACAUCGGAAUCUACUUUUUCGUGGGGGAUAACGUAGGGAAACUUACGCUAAUACCGCAUACGACCUACGGGUGAAAGCAGGGGAUCUUCGGGCCUUGCGCGAUUGAAUGAGCCGAUGUCGGAUUAGCUAGUUGGCGGGGUAAAGGCCUACCAAGGCGACGAUCCGUAGCUGGUCUGAGAGGAUGAUCAGCCACACUGGAACUGAGACACGGUCCAGACUCCUACGGGAGGCAGCAGUGGGGAAUAUUGGACAAUGGGCGCAAGCCUGAUCCAGCCAUACCGCGUGGGUGAAGAAGGCCUUCGGGUUGUAAAGCCCUUUUGUUGGGAAAGAAAAGCAGCAGGUUAAUACCCCGCUGUUCUGACGGUACCCAAAGAAUAAGCACCGGCUAACUUCGUG